UUCAAAACAUAAAUAAUAGAUGAUGACUGAUGGAUUUUUAUUAUUUUAUUUAGACCCAGUGUGUGACCAGGCCACGGAACCGGCUCUGCGCCAACCCACAGAGGUUCCUCAGGACCAGCUCACGGUCACAAUAUUUGAAGUUGAGGAGAAACAUCAGAAGGCUGUGGAGACCAUUUCUCAGCUGGAGGUGGAGAAGUCUGGCCUGAUCAUUCUGUUGAGCUGGAGAAGUUUAAACUGCCCAACACAAUGAAGAGACUGCAAGGAACAGUGCAGACCACAGAGAAUCUUCUCUGUGAGACUGACUGGGCGUUCGGCAGACUCGUACAUGAGGUUCCGGUGAAGAAGGAUGAGAUGAAGAAGCAUCUGAUAACCGCAGAGGAGAUACUGAAGGUAAACUUUCAUUCUCAUGAAAGUAUGACUUUUGUUGUAUUUCGUGUGU